GUUGGAGGGGGAAGGAACAGAAGGGCUUGAAAGCACAGCUACAGGGGUGUGCUUUUCUGAGGGAAUAAGAAAGCAAAAGCCUGGCUUUACAAAUCUCAACCUGCAGCUGUUUCCUGUGCAGAGAGACUAUGCUUAUUGAAAACUUGAAGGCAGCAGAAAACAAACUAUAUAUACCAAUGCAGGUCAGGGAGAAUGAGGAGAACGCCCUUUAAGCCCCCCCCCCCUUAGCUUAGCUUUUGAAGUUCCCAAUCUAGCAAAUGCACAAAAUGCUUGGGGUUCACAAAAGACAAGGAAAGCUUGUAAAAUAUUUCAUCAACUACAGACACUGCUCAAGCCACCUCAUCCAGAAAAAAGGCACAUCAGAGCUCGUUUGAAGAGGCUUCAUUCAGCAGCCCUUAUAUGUGACGGAUGAACAUACAGCAACAAACAAAUCCAUCCUCUGAACCUCCUGAAGAAGAGUCUCAACAUAAUCAGCUCCUUAUGAAUAUAUACUUUUUAAUCUCACUGCUGAGAUGAAAUGCAAUGAAUGCUUUUUGGUCUU